AUUUCAUCAAUUCUCAUCCAACCACAGAAGGCGAGUCUCAAACGUCUAACCCUAUUGCCCCACCAGAACUGAGAGAGCAGGAGGACCCCAAAUUUCAAUCCUCUUCUGAACAUCAGAGACAAAAGCCCGAGAAUGCUGGAAGCAAAGAUUCUUCCACUCCAUUGUCCUCCUGGUUGCCAAUGGCAGUCGUGCUCGGCGUCCUCUCAUUGUGCCUGCUUUUGCUGAUAGUAGCGAGAAUCUUUGGUGCCAAGCGUAAGUACUGGCAGGAAAAAUCACUCAGGGCUUCAGUCAGAAACCGUUGGCUUUAUUCUUGGCUAUGCCACUGACGUGCUGCAUAACUCAGGCCAUAUCUCAAAUUGCUCAUCUGUAAAAUGGAUAAUAAUAAUUUGCUACGUACAUAGGACCUGAUUCUGCAGUCCUUACUCAUGUGAGAAGCCCCAUUGACUCGAAUGGAACUCUCUGUCUCAUGCGUCCGGAAUAAUGAACACAGUUUUAAGGGGGAGGUAAUCUUAGAUCAGUUUAUAUCAGCAGAAGCACUGAAUGGGGCUGAAAAUAUGGAGGGGAUGCUUCCUAUCUCCUUUCAGUCCUUGUCACAUUGCUCUGCCUGCCUGGGAGGGUGUUAUACUACCAGGUAAGGUAUCAACUGCCAGGUCUUCAGUUUCUUCUACAAUAUCUAAUAUAAUAUUUAAUAUCCAUUAGGUGUCAUUCAAGGGCUUUCAAGUCUGUUUUCUGUUCUCCUGGGAGGAGAUUAGUUUGUGUCUUUGGAUAAAAACAGUCUGAUUUAGAGAAAAAAGCUGAUUUAGCAGAGCAUAAUUUUAACAUAACUCGGGUAAACUCAGCUGAUUUAGAGAUAAAGGAGGUGAGUGCUAUGAAUGUUGUUUGGUGCUUGUUAAAGAGAAUAUGGGGUUUUCUAGGAAAUAGAAAUAAUGGGAAAUGCUACCAAGUUCAAAAAUGGAUGGAUGCUUGGUUUCCCUGAGAAUUAUGCAGGUGGAGAACCGUCUGCUAAUAAGAUAUGUUUCUUUAACUCUAAUGGACAUUUUAAUCUUCCCUUUAAAAUUCCUGCAGUCCCUAAUCAGAGUUUUUCCUCAUUAACCUCAGCAAGACCUUUCCCAUGUAUGUUGACUGUUGCUUUUGGUAUCACCAACCAGUCGUGAAACACGAAUGAGAAACAUCUGAAGAAAUUUGUUUUUUUACAAAUUCCAUGUAUUCCCAGGUGUUUCUAAGAACACACAAGCUCAGAGAAAGAGACGUUGCUGUUCCUUUGCAGAGCUGAUAUUUUUAUCUUGCUUUUAAAAUGUGGGCCUUGUUCCCUUCUAGGCAUUUGGCUUAGCAAGGAUGGUAAAUAUUAUUAUUUUUUAUUAUUAUUAUUACGGGAAAGCCAAGAUCUUCCUUUCCUCGAAGAUAAUGCUGAAGCGAGCACCGCAGUUGAAUGAUCUAUUUCAUGACAAA